AACUCCUACGGGAGGCAGCAGUGGGGAAUAUUGCACAAUGGGCGAAAGCCUGAUGCAGCAACGCCGCGUGAGUGAUGAAGGCCUUCGGGUCGUAAAACCCUGUCCUCAAGGAAGAUAAUGACGGUACUUGAGGAGGAAGCCCCGGCUAACUACGUGCCAGCAGCCGCGGUAAUACGUAGGGGGCUAGCGUUAUCCGGAUUUACU
rnacentral:rRNA from 1 species